CCUACGGGAGGCUGCAGUGGGGAAUAUUGCACAAUGGGCGCAAGCCUGAUGCAGCCAUGCCGCGUGUGUGAAGAAGGCCUUCGGGUUGUAAUGCACUUUCAGCGGGGAGGAAGGCGGUGAGGUUAAUAACCUCAUCGAUUGACGUUACCCGCAGAAGAAGCACCGGCUAACUCCGUGCCAGCAGCCGCGGUAAUACGGAGGGUGCAAGCGUUAAUCGGAAUUACUGGGCGUAAAGCGCACGCAGGCGGUCUGUCAAGUCAGAUGUGAAAUCCCCGGGCUCAACCUGGGAACUGCAUUCGAAACUGGCAGGCUAGAGUCUUGUAGAGGGGGGUAGAAUUCCAGGUGUAGCGGUGAAAUGCGUAGAGAUCUGGAGGAAUACCGGUGGCGAAGGCGGCCCCCUGGACAAAGACUGACGCUCAGGUGCGAAAGCGUGGGGAGCAAACAGGAUUAGAUACCCGAGUAGUC
rnacentral:rRNA from 1 species